UUGUCAUCGUCGUUUUCUUCCG
rnacentral:siRNA from 1 species